UUUAUCCAAUAUAGUGACACACUUGUUUCUGCAGCUGGGAUUUUUGAAGCAGGGUUUUUCAACUUUGGAGAUCCACAACGUCAAUACUUUUGUAUAUGGUACAAAAACUUAUCACCCAGGACUAUUGUGUGGGUUGCCAAUAGAGACACCCCUGUACAAAACUCUACAGGGUUGCUGAAACUCAAUGAUCAGGGAAAUCUUGUUAUUCUUGAUGACUCGAAAGGCGUUGUUUGGUCCUCUAAUUCAUCAAGAAUUGUGGCGAAACCAGUUGUUGUACAAUUGUUGGAUUCAGGAAACCUUGUUGUGAAAGACGCAAACAGCAGCGGUGAGAAUAAGGAUUUCUUGUGGGAGAGUUUUGAUUAUCCUGGUAACACUUUCCUUGCUGGAAUGAAGCUGAAAAGUAAUUUAGUUACUGGUCCGUAUAAAUAUCUCACAUCUUGGAGAAGCCCUGAAGAUCCUGCUGAAGGCGAG